UACGGGGGGGGCAAGCGUUGCUCGGAAUUACUGGGCGUAAAGGGCUCGUAGGCGGCCAACUAAGUCAGACGUGAAAUCCCUCGGCUUAACCGGGGAACUGCGUCUGAUACUGGAUGGCUUGAGUUUGGGAGAGGGAUGCGGAAUUCCAGGUGUAGCGGUGAAAUGCGUAGAUAUCUGGAGGAACACCGGUGGCGAAGGCGGC
rnacentral:rRNA from 1 species